GUCCUUUAGAAUAGAAUUUAAGGUCUAACCUGCCCACUGAUUAAUUUAACGGCCGCAGUAUUUUGACUGUGCAAAGGUAGCAUAAUCAUUAGUUUUUUAAUUGAAAGCUUGUAUGAAUGGUUGGACGAGAUAUAGACUGUCUUUUGAAUAAAAAUAGAAUUUAAUUUUUAAGUUAAAAAGCUUAAAUAAAAUUAAAAGACGAGAAGACCCUAUAAAUCUUUAUAAAUUUUCUAUUAUAAUUUUUUAGGAUUAAUAGUUUUUAUAAUAUUUAGUUUAUUUUAUUGGGGUAAUAAAAAGAUUAAAAUAAUUCUUUUAUAUGUUUUUCAUUGAUUAGUGUUUUUAAUGAUCCUAUAUUAUAGAUUUAAGAUUAAGUUACUUUAGGGAUAACAGCGUAAUUUUUUUGAAGAGUUCUUAUCGAUAAAAAAGUUUGCGACCUCGAUGUUGGAUUAAAAUUAAUUUUAGGUGUAGAAGUUUAAAUUUUUAGUCUGUUCGACUAUUGAAAUUUU
rnacentral:rRNA from 1 species